rnacentral:rRNA from 1 species
UACAGAGGUGGCAAGCGUUGUUCGGAAUUACUGGGCGUAAAGGGCGCGUAGGCGGCCUACUAAGUCAGACGUGAAAUCCCCCGGCUUAACCUGGGAACUGCGUCUGAUACUGGAAGGCUUGAGUAUGGGAGAGGGAUGUAGAAUUCCAGGUGUAGCGGUGAAAUGCGUAGAUAUCGGGAGGAACACCAGUGGCGAAGGCGACCUUCUGGGCCUUGCCUGACGCUGAGGCGCGAAAGCGUGGGGAGCGAACCGG